CCUUCAAUAGCUCAGCAGGUAGAGCAGAGGACUGUAACUUAAGGAUGUGGACAUCCUUAAGUUGCUGGUUUGAUUCUGGAUCAAAGGA
rnacentral:tRNA from 1 species